AAAGCAUCUAAGCAUGAAGCCCCCCUCAAGAUGAGAUUUCCCAUGGCGCAAGCUAGUAAGAUCCCUGAAAGAUGAUCAGGUUGAUAGGUCAGAGGUGGAAGCGUGGCGACAUGUGGAGCUGACUGAUACUAAUAGAUCGAGGACUUAACCAAC
rnacentral:rRNA from 1 species